AGGCUUAACACAUGCAAGUCGAGGGGUAACAGGGAUUGCUUGCAAUCCGCUGACGACCGGCGCACGGGUGCGUAAAGCGUAUGCAACCUACCUUUUACAAGGGGAUAGCCCAGAGAAAUUUGGAAUAAUACCCUAUACGAUCAUCAAUUGGCAUCAAUUAAUGAAGAAAACUCCGGUGGUAAAAGAUGGGCAUGCGUCCUAUUAGUUAGUUGGUAAGGUAACGGCUUACCAAGACUUCGAUAGGUAGGGGUCCUGAGAGGGAGAUCCCCCACACUGGUACUGAGACACGGACCAGACUCCUACGGGAGGCAGCAGUGAGGAAUAUUGGACAAUGGAGGCAACUCUGAUCCAGCCAUGCCGCGUGCAGGAAGACGGCCCUACGGGUUGUAAACUGCUUUUAUACAGGAAGAACUAUAUCUACGUGUAGAUAUUUGACGGUACUGUACGAAUAAGGAUCGG
rnacentral:rRNA from 1 species